rnacentral:rRNA from 1 species
AUUGAACGCUGGCGGCAGGCCUAACACAUGCAAGUCGAGCGGAUGAAGGGAGCUUGCUCCUGGAUUCAGCGGCGGACGGGUGAGUAAUGCCUAGGAAUCUGCCUGGUAGUGGGGGAUAACGUCCGGAAACGGGCGCUAAUACCGCAUACGUCCUGAGGGUGAAAGUGGGGGAUCUUCGGACCUCACGCUAUCAGAUGAGCCUAGGUCGGAUUAGCUAGUUGGUGGGGUAAAGGCCUACCAAGGCGACGAUCCGUAACUGGUCUGAGAGGAUGAUCAGUCACACUGGAACUGAGACAGGGUCCAGACUCCUACGGGAGGCAGCAGUGGGGAAUAUUGGACAAUGGGCGAAAGCCUGAUCCAGCCAUGCCGCGUGUGUGAAGAAGGUCUUCGGAUUGUAAAGCACUUUAAGUUGGGAGGAAGGGCAGUAAGUUAAUACCUUGCUGUUUUGACGUUACCAACAGAAUAAGCACCGGCUAACUUCGUG